rnacentral:rRNA from 1 species
AGUGGCGGACGGGUGAGUAACGCGUGAGUAACCUGCCCUUAGGAAAGGGAUAGCGUCUGGAAACGGACGGUAAUACCAUAUAAAGUAUAUUAACGGCAUCGUAGAUAUACCAAAGCUGAGGCGCCUAAGGAUGGACUCGCGUCUGAUUAGAUAGUUGGUGGGGUAACGGCCUACCAAGUCGACGAUCAGUAGCCGGACUGAGAGGUUGAACGGCCACAUUGGGACUGAGACACGGCCCAGACUCCUACGGGAGGCAGCAG